rnacentral:lncRNA from 1 species
AUGUCUGCCAGCCCUGAGCUGCCUUCACUCACUUGCCCCAAGUCCACACCGCGACUGAGGAGGCAGCCUUCACUGUCCUCAUUAUACAGGGACAACCCCAGGCCUGGACACGUGACACAGUCUGAUCAGCAUAGGUCUGUCAAUCUUGGAACAGACAGGACAUCAACACAGAAGGACUUAUACUCUGAUACCAGAUCUGUGAAUUAAAAUGUUAUCUCUAUAUUGAUUAAAGGGUACACAAAAGGAGUACACGGUGAGAUUAAGUAACAUUGCUCCAAUUAAGAGAGUCCUUGAACCUGGCAGCCAGAAGAAGCCUCCCGCUGGUGACGUGUGCGUGAGAACCAUCUACAGCGUCUUUAUGCUGUAAAUAACAAGUCGUCUGUGAGUGGGAGCUGGUCCCCAAGGUGGCUGUGUCCACAGUGGUGUCUUCAUUGAUCCCAAUGCUGUUGUCCUGCUGUGUGUUCAGCUGGGUCAUAAAUCGGGUCUUUCCUCUCAGGAGAUCCUUCCUUAAAAUAUCACCCUGUUUUUGUCCAGCCAAUAAUUGUUACGGGCCGUGUUCUGGCACACAUUUUUGAGGAGGCUGGGAUUUGAGUUAGGCUGGGCGGGGUCCUCCUUUCCUGUAGUUAGUCCUGACGAUGGGGAUGCAGGGUCUCACUUAGCUGAGCACCGUUCUCCUCUGUUCAUACCCGAACCUCUGCAGGCUCCCCCGGGUGUGCAGUGUCUCGUAACUGUGCACUGUGUUGUGAGGGACUGUCCUCUGACCUAGAGAAAGUCAGUGGCUGUACCAACAGCAGCCAGUAUUCUCCACAAUAAAGCAUUUACCAGUUGUUGUCCUGUUGCUAGAAUUUUUUAAAAUUAAAUACAGAAUACAAGCUGGGCGUGGUGGCACAUGCCUAUAAUUCCAGCACUUGGGAGGCUGAGGCAGGAGGAUCGUUGUGAGUUCGAGACCAGCCUGGGCUACAAAGUGAGCUCAAGGCCAGCCGGAACUACAUAGCCAGACCCUGUCUGAAAAAGACAAAAAAACAAAAAACAAAAAAC